UAUUGGGUUUAAAGGGUGCGUAGGCGGUUUUUUAAGUCAGUAGUGAAAUCUUAAAGCUUAACUUUAAAAUUGCUAUUGAUACUGAAAAACUAGAGUUAGUUUGGAGUAGCUGGAAUGUGUGGUGUAGCGGUGAAAUGCGUAGAUAUCACACAGAACACCAAUAGCGAAAGCAAGUUACUAAGCCUAUACUGACGCUGAGGGCACGAAAGCAUGGGGAGCAAACAGGAUUAGAUACCCUGGUAGUCCAUGCUGUAAACGAUGAUCACUAACUAUUGGGUUUUGUACUUUUGUACUUUGUAAUUCAGUGGUUAAGCGAAAGUGUUAAGUGAUCCACCUGAGGAGUACGACCGCAAGGUUGAAACUCAAAGGAAUUGACGGGGGCUCGCACAAUCGGUGGAGCAUGUGGUUUAAUUCGAUGAUACGCGAGGAACCUUACCAAGACUUAAAUGUACUACGAAUAAAUUGGAAACAAUUUAGUCUAGCGACGGAGUACAAGGUGCUGCAUGGUUGUCGUCAGCUCGUGCCGUGAGGUGUAAGGUUAAGUCCUUAAACGAGCGCAACCCUUAUUAUUAGUUGCCAUCGAGUAGUGUCGGGGACUCUAAUAAGACUGCCGGCGUAAGCCGAGAGGAAGGCGGGGACGACGUCAAAUCAUCACGGCCCUUACGUCUUGGGCCACACACGUGCUACAAUGAUCGGUACAAAAGGGAGCGACUGGGUGACCAGGAGCAAAUCUAGAAAGCCGAUCUCAGUUCGGAUUGGAGUCUGAAACUCGACUCUAUA
rnacentral:rRNA from 1 species